rnacentral:rRNA from 1 species
GACGAACGCUGGCGGCGUGCUUAACACAUGCAAGUCGAACGGUGAAGCGCCUUCCUUUUUGGUGGGUGUGGAUGAGUGGCGAACGGGUGAGUAACACGUGAGUAACCUGCCCCCUUCUUCUGGAUAACCGCAUGAAAGUGUGGCUAAUACGGGAUAUUCUGGGUCUGUCGCAUGAUGGGUCUGGGAAAGAUAUUGUUUCGGUGGGGGAUGGGCUCGCGGCCUAUCAGCUUGUUGGUGGGGUGAUGGCCUACCAAGGCGGUGACGGGUAGCCGGCCUGAGAGGGUGGACGGUCACACUGGAACUGAGACACGGCCCAGACUCCUACGGGAGGCAGCAGUGGGGAAUAUUGCGCAAUGGGCGCAAGCCUGAUGCAGCGAGGCCGCGUGAGGGAUGGAGGCCUUCGGGUUGUGAACCUCUUUCGCCAGUGAAGCAGGCCUGCCUCGUUUGUGGGUGGGUUGACGGUAGCUGGAUAAGAAGCGCCGGCUAACUACGUG